UGUAUAUAUAAUAAUUUAAUGGCCGCGGUACUUUGACCGUGCUAAGGUAGCGCAAUUAAUUGGCCUUUAAAUGGGGUCAGGAAUGAAUGGAAUAACGGGGUUUAGCUGUCUCUAAUAUAAUUUAUUAAAAUUACUGUGUAGGUGAAAAAGCCUAUAAAUUUGAAAAAAGACGAGAAGACCCUUAGAGUUUUACUUAUACUAUAUAAUAUUAUAUAUAAUAGUUUAGUUGGGGCAACAUAGGAACAAGUAAUUUCCUUAAUUUUAUUAAUCGAAAGUUUUAAAUGUGAAAAAACUACCUUAGGGAUAACAGCAUAAUUUAUAAAAAUAAGUUUGUGACCUCGAUGUUGGACUAAGGAACUAAAAGGCUAGCCGUUUUUUAGGUAGGUUCUGUUCGAACUAAUAUCCUU
rnacentral:rRNA from 1 species